rnacentral:rRNA from 1 species
GACGAACGCUGGCGGCGUGCCUAAUACAUGCGAGUAGAACGCUGAAGGAGGAGCUUGCUUCUCUGGAUGAGUUGCGAACGGGUGAGUAACGCGUAGGUAACCUGCCUGGUAGCGGGGGAUAACUAUUGGAAACGAUAGCUAAUACCGCAUAAGAGUAGAUGUUGCAUGACAUUUGCUUAAAAGGUGCAAUUGCAUCACUACCAGAUGGACCUGCGUUGUAUUAGCUAGUUGGUGGGGUAACGGCUCACCAAGGCGACGAUACAUAGCCGACCUGAGAGGGUGAUCGGCCACACUGGGACUGAGACACGGCCCAGACUCCUACGGGAGGCAGCAGUAGGGAAUCUUCGGCAAUGGACGGAAGUCUGACCGAGCAACGCCGCGUGAGUGAAGAAGGGUUUCGGAUCGUAAAGCUCUGUUGUAAGAGAAGAACGAGUGUGAGAGUGGAAAGUUCACACUGUGACGGUAUCUUACCAGAAAGGGACGGCUAACUACGUG